CUUCUUGUUUGUUUGUUUGUUAUAGGCUGGAAUGCAAAAGUUGAGGGUUGAAAUCGCAGCCAGUAAUUUGCUGUUCCCUACGUACUAUUACAAACAUAUAGGGUCCCCAGACCAUUGAGACAUUGCGGGAGGAGCUUUCCACCACUGAAAGGAGAGCUGAAGAGGAGCAUUCUCCUCAUAUUAAGGUUGAUAGUCCCAAAAGAAAGGGCACACAACGGGAGUUAGAUGAUUCUUCAUAAAUAGAUACCUGAAGAAACUGGAAUCUGUAGUGCAUGUAUCUCCGGUUGGUGAAGGGAAUGUGGCUCAAGGCGCGGGCGAUGAGGCAAAAGUUGGCAUUUCAAUCAAUCUGGAGAAAGAACAGGUAGAGCUGAUAAGACGUCCAUGAAGAUUCAAGAUCAACUUGAAGAGGUUUUGUGUGAGUCUCGGGGAAAUGAAGAUUAUAGCAAAUGCUACUUGCAUUACCACUACUUUGAUCUGAGUUUUAAAUUUGCUGGUAUUUCUGAGAAAAUCUGAUGAAAGGACAACGAAAGCGGCAGUUCGUGGACAGAAGGCCGAAUGUACAUCUCUGAAUCAAGAGCUGCAAGAUAUGGAAGCUCGUGCUCGCAAAGGACAAAAGAAUUCCCCAGAUGAAGCAAACCAAGUGAUCCAGGAGUAUACAGAGCUGGAGAAAAGCUACCGUGAACUAAGAAAUUUACUGGUAACGUGGACUCUAGGGCGUACUGAUUCUCUGGAUCAAAAUUGUGUUGCAAAGUUGUCUGCUAGCUUCUGGCUUUGCUGUUUGGAUUGAAAGUGAGAAGGCUGCAGCAGAGUUUCAGUUGAAGGAGGAGGUCAAACGUCUACAUUAAGCACAGAGGUAGAAAGAAGCAUCACUGAGCUGUUUUCACCUUCAAAGAGUGUGUACAACCUGGGUUCAUAGACCAACCAAACACAACAUUUCUAAGAUGUAAUAAAUACACAAUAGAACUUUUAAGGAUGACUGGACACAGCUUCUGAGUCAAGUAGAACUUUGUGUAGGAGAGUAGCAUGACGUACUGCUAUAGUCUUUGCCCAGACAUAUGAUGCGUCUAGUAGAUGCUAUGUUUUUAAUCGUGCUAAUAGCUAUUGCUAUGUUUUUUCA